UACUUAUAACCUUGGCAGAAAAAAUGUAAAGCUCACGAAGUUGAGCCUUCAUGUCAGAGUUCAUCUCGAGCUCCAGGAUAGCCUGAAAAGUUUAAGCAACAUUCAGUAUAAGAUACGAAGUGAAAAAAGCUGGUAGUGUCGAUAGUUUACACGUGAAGCGAUACGAAAACGAGCACGGUGUAUUUGCAAGCAUUUCUUCGACAUAUCAACACACACACGAAACCCAUAAGAGGGAAUAUAUAGAAAUAUACUAAUACGAACCUGGGAGAUGCCCUGCUCGAAUUCAUUGGCAGUUUCGCCUUGUGGCUUGACUAUCAGGGACAGUUGGGGGCAUUCGUAUUUUGUUGUCAGAGGUGAAAUUCUUGGAUUUACGAAAGACGAGCUACUGCAAAAGCAUUUGCCAAGAAUGUUUUUUAUUAUACAAGAACGAAAGUUAGAGGAUCGAAGACGAUCAGAUACCGUCCUGGUUCUAACCAUAAACGAUGCCGACUAGGGAUCAGAGAGUGUUAUUGGAUGACCUCUUUGGCACCUUAUGGUAAACCAAAGUUUUUGGAUUCCGGGGGAAGUAUGGUCGCAAAGCUGAAACUUAAAGGAAUUGACGGAAGGGCACUCUCAAAAGAAUAGCUUCAAAGGAUUUGGACAUAAUUAAUU
rnacentral:ncRNA from 1 species